CAAACCUCUGACAGCUUCAGGACGGACCCUGGCUCUGCCGCCAGUUAGCUGCACAGUUUCGGAGCCUUGGUUUCCUCGUGGGAGAAAUGAGGAUCGUUAACCCUCCUUGAGGGUUGUGAGAGAGACAGUCGAUGCAUUUAUGAGCCAAAUGUCAGAACUUACUCAAGCCCUGUUUUCCCAUCCUCGGAAAGACAAGGACAGUGAACCCCAGGACUACAAGUUAUCAGAUAAAGAAGCAGAGGCCCAGAUCAGUGGCACAGCCAGGGAUGAGCAGAAGGAGGACAAAAGCUGGACCAUGGGACCCAAUGCCUUUAGCACUCAAUUUCUGCCUCUAAAGAGCCCAAGACGGAGUAUAGGUGUUUUGAGUGAGCAAAAGCCCCACCUGGCGUAAGUCAGAAGCCCCUUCCUCAUUCCCACUCCUGGUGCUGGAGACAGCCGCAGGAGAGGGGUCCCAGGACCAGGGCUUCUGGGAACAACAGCAGGAGAGCCCAUCUCACUGGCCAUCUAGACUCCAGCACCUGAAAGCAGGCCGGCCAGUCCCCUGUAAACAGCCGGUCUCAUGUCACUGUAAACAGCUGGUGUCUAGAGUUGUCACAGUGCCCAAGUCUCAGUGUGAUUGCCCUGUGACUCGAUACCCUGCCACUGGCCCCUGUCACUCGAUACUUGGUAAACAGCAUUCGGAGAAUGGGUACCAGCACCCUGUCGGGUCUGUGCUGUGCAGGGCCAGCAGCCGGGUCUAACUUCAAUCCAGGUCCUGACCCCCAACAGCAAUCAGCACUUGUUUUGUUCUGAUACUUUGUAAACAUCAAGUCCAGAUACCUGUUACUUGUCAGUGGUCCCUGUUAGUCACCAACUUGCCCUAAUAUUUCUCAGCGGGCAACCUGGAAGGUAUUUAAACAGCCUUCCAAUUCUUUGUAACAAUGAAUCCUGAUACUUUGUUACCUCACCCAGGGGCUGGCCAACUACACCUCUGCUCACCACCUAGUCAUGGCUUUUACACUUUUAAAUG